GUCGGGAAUAUUGCGCAAUGGAGGAAACUCUGACGCAGUGACGCCGCGUGCAGGAAGAAGGUUUUCGGAUUGUAAACUGCUUUAGACAGGGAAGAAACAAGACAGUACCUGUAGAAUAAGCUCCGGCUAACUACGUGCCAGCAGCCGCGGUAAUACGUAGGGAGCGAGCGUUAUCCGGAUUUAUUGGGUGUAAAGGGUGCGUAGACGGGAAGAUAAGUUAGUUGUGAAAUCCCUCGGCUUAACUGAGGAACUGCAACUAAAACUGUUUUUCUUGAGUACUGGAGAGGAAAGUGGAAUUCCUAGUGUAGCGGUGAAAUGCGUAGAUAUUAGGAGGAACACCAGUGGCGAAGGCGACUUUCUGGACAGAAACUGACGUUGAGGCACGAAAGUGUGGGGAGCAAACAGGAUUAGAAACCCUAGUAGUCC
rnacentral:rRNA from 1 species